rnacentral:rRNA from 1 species
GAUCCUGGCUUAGGAUGAACGCUAGCUACAGGCUUAACACAUGCAAGUCGAGGGGCAGCAUGUGGUUGCUUGCAACCAAUGAUGGCGACCGGCGCACGGGUGAGUAACGCGUAUCCAACCUUCCCCUUAGUAGGGCAUAGCCCGGCGAAAGUCGGAUUAAUACCCUAUGUUCUUCGUAGAUGACAUCUGAAAUGAAGCAAAGGUUUACCGCUAAGGGAUGGGGAUGCGUCUGAUUAGGCAGUCGGCGGGGUAACGGCCCACCGAGCCGACGAUCAGUAGGGGUUCUGAGAGGAAGGUCCCCCACAUUGGAACUGAGACACGGUCCAAACUCCUACGGGAGGCAGCAGUGAGGAAUAUUGGUCAAUGGGCGAGAGCCUGAACCAGCCAAGUAGCGUGCAGGAAGACGGCCCUAUGGGUUGUAAACUGCUUUUAUGCGGGGAUAAAGUCGCCUACGUGUAGGUGUUUGUAGGUACCGCAUGAAUAAGGACCGGCUAAUUCCGUGCCAGCCGCUGC